GGCGCUGCGGGGCCGGGCCAGGGGCGAAGGGGCCGCACCUGCCCGCGGCAGCACCCGGCGGGGCUCAACGUGGGAAUCCCUCUGAAAAUAUAAUAAAAAUAGAGAAAGAAAACAGAACAGAGGGAGGAGGAGCCCGGGGCGUUGCUGUCCAGCCCGGUGCCCGCCCGCUGCCUUGGCCGGGAGUCGGUGGGAGGACCAGGGGCCCCAGGGAUGGGCGGGAGCACGGGCAGCCCCCUCGCCUGUGUGCCGUAGGUAAAGCUGUUGUGCAAGAGCCAGCGGUCAGGAACAGGCUGUACUAAGCAGCCGUGGCCGGCGCUGCCUCCAGUACGCAGAAAACUACCCCGUCCACGACCACGCGGACCAGAAACGCUCUCUUUGUUAAUGACGUUAAUUGUGAACUUAAUUAGGCGUCUGAAGUUGCAGCGAAGAGGUCAAAGACGUGGGCACGCUGAACACAGACAAGCUGAUGAGAUGGGCAGGACUGAGCCAACAUCCGGAUGGCGGGACCAGGGUGACGCAGACGUUGGCACACUGCUGGGGUCAGAGAUCUUGCAGCCCAGAAGUUUCAUUGCACUAAACAUGUCCCCUGAAGCAGAGGUUGUCCCGCAAUUGUCACACAGAUGUUAACUGCACAUACCCUCUGGGAUACAGUGUCCCUUGGGCUUUGCCCGGUCUCCAAAAGAAAAGCUCUUGAUGGUCAAGGACACCCUGGACAGAUGGCAGCCUCGGGACUUUUGCAAAGGCAAACAUAAUAGCAACCCGUGUUGUCUGUCACCAGCUUGCCUUGGGGUCCCAGCCGGGUUGGCCAUGCUGGCACAUGUGGUGGCAGACAGCAGGGGCCGUGCAAGGAUGAGGAAGGGGGACAGAAGGGCAGAGCAAACCCCUACUCUGGGGCAGAAAGGUAUCACCCCUUCAAGAGGGCACUAGGCACCGCAGAAUGGGCAGCUGGUGGUGUCACCAGGAUGGGCCUCUGGCCACCAGGCAGGGCUGACCCCGCUGUUCACCCCACAGCAAGGUGGCUGCUGUUGGAGCUGUGCUAUGGAGCACCUGCAUUUCCAUGGAAACCUCUCCCCGUGGCCUGAUGUUGGUCACUAAACAGGGGCAACUAGUGGCUGCAAUGGAGGGCCUUGGUAUUGCAGUCCUGGGGCUGCUGGGUGGGUUGGACCAGAGGGGUCAGUGGUUGGGGCAACUCUGAAUGGGGCUGCAGGUCACGGUUCAGAGGGCUUCAUGGGUGGGCAGUUUCCUUUGCCCAGAGAGCAGGGGCAACUCUGCCUGUUGGCAUGGAAAAGCCCAGGGGAAGGCAUCCCCAUGCCCUGGGCAAGAGCCCCAUCAGCCCAUUAGAGUCCCGUUGUGGCUUGGCUCUAUUGCAACCUGUCCCAGGCAUUCCACAGCAUCCCUGCCCCUGACAGCACAGCACAGCACAGCUCAGCUCGGCUCGGCUCAGCAUGGCAUGCUGCCUGCUUAUGGCACCUUUCUCACACUCUCCAUCUGCCCCAUGGCAAGGGACCUGCCUCCAUCCCAGACUAAUGCCCCCAGGCCAUGCCCACGCUGCUGCACCUCCAGCACACAGGGCGCAGGGUGGCAGGGGGUGCAGGACCUCCACAAUGGGCAGCACCAGUGGUCAUAGGGGGGUCCAGCACAGGUCUGGAGCACGGUGCUGAACAGGGUGAUGUGCCAGUGGCGCAGCAGUGGCAAGGAUACCCCGGGAGAGCAGAGCAGAGCCCCCCACCCAGCUCCCCGCACAGCCCGUCCCCCUGCCUGCCCCCGGCUCCCCUGGCUCGGGGCCUCGGCCCUGGCUCCACUGUCUGCACGCUGCCUGGAGGCGAUUUGGCCCCCCCUCCCCGUGCCUGGUUUCCAUGGCAACUCCAGUUGAAAUUACAUUAAAAAGAAAUGAAACCA